GUAUAAUUUAUCUCCCCACGAAUACACACAAAGUAGUCUUAAAAUAAAACCCAUAAAACAGUUCAAGAUGACAUACUUUUUAUUUGCUAAUUUAAUGCCAGUUGCCCUCUUUCCUGAGUAUAAGCGAAUGAGUGACAUAAAGAGAAAAAGUACCAAUUUGUAUGCUGAUGAGUCUUGUGUGUUUUUUUCUCUGUCUCGCUAUGACAAAGAAAUGUAUAUGCUCAAUAUUGCUGUUUAAACUGAUGCUCAAAUUUCCAAGCACCACCUGAACGCCUCAUCGGUCUUUAACUACUCACUGCACCAACUGUCGUCAUUCCGCUUUGCUCUCUGCUGUGGAACUUGACUCACAUCUGUGCUUUGCCUGUGUGCAGAAGAAGAACAAGGACCAGAUCUCCAGUCUUCUCUCUCACAUCCCAACCCCCCAACCCCUCUAUCCUCUGUACUGCUCCACCUGUUGUCUCUGCCUUCUUUCCAUCUGUAUUUCACCCUGUGGUUUGUGAGAAAUUUUGCCAAACCAUAAUCUUAUUGUGGUUUGAUUUCAAAGCCGCGUCUCUAAUUUUAGAGUUCGAAGGAACUCUAAUUCACGGUUUAAUUGGGAUUUCCCAGCCGUGUCUUUCCUGCUCUGUCUGUUCUCUCUGCUAAAUUUUCUCUCUACCUGUUUUUCACUCCUGGCUUGCUGCUGAAUAAUGGCAAGCCAAUAAAGCAAUAAAGAGUGCAUAUUUUGCCUCAACCUAUGAACAAACUGAACAAACAAAGAAAACUCUGCGGUUUGAUUUCAAAGCCGCGUCUCUAAUUUUAGAGUUCGAAGGAACUCUAAUUCACGGUUUAAUUGGGAUUUCCCAGCCGUGUCUUUCCUGCUCUGUCUGUUCUCUCUGCUAAAUUUUCUCUCUACCUGUUUUUCACUCUUGGCUUGCUGCUGAAAAAUGCCAAGCCAUUAAAGCAAUAAAGAGUACAUAUUGCCUCUACCUGAGAACAAACUGAACAAAUAAAGAAAACUCUAAUUCA